rnacentral:sRNA from 1 species
CCACCCAGGACGAUGAGCGGCUGAGAUGGAGACGUCUGCCUCAGCCACUGCCUCCGAGAAGCAAGAAGCCAAAAGUGGGAUCCUGGAGGCCGCUGGCUUCCCCGACCCGGGUAAAAAGGCCUCUCCUUUGGUAGUGGCUGCAGCGGCAGCAGCAGCGGUAGCUGCCCAAGGAGUGCCGCAGCAUCUCUUGCCACCGUUCCAUGUGUCCCUACCAAUUGACAUGCGACACCAGGAAGGAAGGUACCAUUACGAGCCUCAUUCUGUCCACGGUGUGCACGGGCCCCCCGCCCUCAGCGGCAGCCCUGUCAUCUCUGACAUCUCCUCGAUCCGGCUUUCCCCGCACCCGGCUGGCCCUGGGGAGUCCCCAUUCAACGCUCCCCACCCGUACGUGAACCCCCACAUGGAACACUACCUCCGUUCUGUGCACAGCAGCCCCACGCUCUCCAUGAUCUCUGCGGCCAGGGGCCUCAGCCCCGCUGACGUGGCCCAGGAGCACCUUAAGGAGAGGGGACUGUUUGGCCUUCCUGCUCCAGGCACCACCCCCUCAGACUAUUACCACCAGAUGACCCUCGUGGCAGGCCACCCCGCGCCCUACGGGGACCUGCUGAUGCAGAGCGGGGGGGCUGCCAGCACACCCCAUCUCCAUGACUACCUCAACCCAGUGGACGUGUCCCGUUUCUCCAGCCCGCGAGUGACGCCCCGCCUGAGCCGCAAGCGGGCACUGUCCAUCUCCCCACUCUCAGAUGCCAGCCUGGACCUGCAGCGGAUGAUCCGCACCUCACCCAACUCGCUAGUGGCUUACAUCAACAACUCCCGAAGCAGCUCGGCGGCCAGCGGUUCCUAUGGGCAUCUGUCAGCAGGUGCCCUCAGCCCAGCCUUCACCUUCCCCCACCCCAUCAACCCCGUGGCCUACCAGCAGAUUCUGAGCCAGCAGAGGGGUCUGGGGUCAGCCUUUGGACACACACCACCCCUGAUCCAGCCCUCACCCACCUUCCUGGCCCAGCAGCCCAUGUCACUCACCUCCAUCAAUGCCACGCCCACCCAGCUCAGCAGCAGCAGCAACUGUCUGAGUGACACCAACCAGAACAAGCAGAGCAGUGAGUCGGCCGUCAGCAGCACCGUCAACCCUGUCGCCAUUCACAAGCGCAGCAAGGUCAAGACCGAGCCUGAGGGCCUGCGGCCGGCCUCCCCUCUGGCGCUGACGCAGGAGCAGCUGGCUGACCUCAAGGAAGAUCUGGACCGGGAUGACUGUAAGCAGGAAGCUGAGGUGGUCAUCUAUGAGACCAACUGCCACUGGGAAGACUGCACCAAGGAGUACGACACCCAGGAGCAGCUGGUGCAUCACAUCAACAACGAGCACAUCCACGGGGAGAAGAAGGAAUUCGUGUGCCGCUGGCAGGCCUGCACGCGGGAGCAGAAGCCCUUCAAGGCGCAGUACAUGCUGGUGGUUCACAUGCGGCGGCACACAGGCGAGAAGCCCCACAAGUGCACGUUCGAGGGCUGCUCGAAGGCCUACUCCCGCCUGGAGAACCUGAAGACACACCUGCGGUCCCACACCGGGGAGAAGCCAUACGUGUGUGAGCACGAGGGCUGCAACAAAGCCUUCUCCAAUGCCUCGGACCGCGCCAAGCACCAGAAUCGCACCCACUCCAAUGAGAAACCCUACAUCUGCAAGAUCCCAGGCUGCACCAAGAGAUACACAGACCCCAGCUCUCUCCGGAAGCAUGUGAAAACGGUCCACGGCCCAGAUGCCCACGUCACCAAGAAGCAGCGCAGUGACAUGCACCUCCGCACACCGCUGCUCAAAGAGAAUGGGGACAGUGAGGCCGGCACUGAGCCUGGCGGCCCAGAGAGCACCGAGGCCAGCAGCACCAGCCAGGCCGUGGAGGACUGCCUGCACGUCAGAGCCAUCAAGACCGAGAGCUCCGGGCUGUGUCAGUCCAGCCCCGGGGCCCAGUCAUCCUGCAGCAGCGAGCCCUCUCCUCUGGGCAGUGCCCCCAACAAUGACAGUGGCGUGGAGAUGCCGGGGACGGGGCCCGGGAGCCUGGGAGACCUGACAGCGCUGGAUGACACACCCCCAGGGGCCGA